GACGGCCGCUGCCGGCGUGCUCACCACAUGCAAGUCGAACGGAAAGGCCCUGCAAACGUGGGGUGCUCGAGUGGCGAACGGGUGAGUAACACGCGAGUAACCAGCCCUUGACAUUGGGAUAACUCCAGGAAACUGCGCCUACUACCGGAUAGGCGCUCCUGCUCAAUGGUGGGUGUCGGAAAGUUUCGGCGGUUCGGGAUGGACCCGCGGCUGAUCAGCUUGUAGGUGUGGAAGAGGCUUACCAAGCCUUUGACGGGUAGCCGGCCUGAGACGGUGACUGGCCACAUUAGGACUGGAAUACGACCCAGACUGCUGCGGGAGGCAGCAGUGUAAGAGAUUGUGUAAUAGGCGGAAGACUGAAGCAGCGGCGCCGCGUGCGGGAAGACGGCGUUCGGGGUGUAGGCCGCUUGCGCCUGUGAGGAGGCGUGUGUGACGGUAAUGGGUAGAGAAGCACCGGGUAGGUACGUG
rnacentral:rRNA from 1 species